rnacentral:rRNA from 1 species
GAUGAACGCUAGCUACAGGCUUAACACAUGCAAGUCGAGGGGCAGCAUGAACAUAGCUUGCUAUGUUUGAUGGCGACCGGCGCACGGGUGCGUAACACGUAUCCAAUCUGCCCGUCACUCGGGGAUAGCCUUCUGAAAGGAAGAUUAAUACCCGAUGGGAUGCAUUUCCGGCAUCGGAGAUGCAUUAAAGAUUUUAUCGGUGACGGAUGAGGAUGCGUACGAUUAGCUUGUUGGCGGGGUAACGGCCCACCAAGGCAACGAUCGUAGGGUUCUGAGAGGAAGGUCCCCCACACUGGAACUGAGACACGGUCCAGACUCCUACGGGAGGCAGGCAGUGAGGAAUAUUGGUCAAUGGUCUGACGACUGAACCAG